UGCAGUUCUUUUGUGAUGCUGAAAUGACAAGCCAAUCAGGAAGCCUGCCUUGAUGACAUCAGAGGGGAAUAAAAGCGUUAGAUGUGCUGAGGUGGGACUCAGUCUGGGCAGAGGAACUUGCUGUAUCACUCAUAUCAACUGAAACGCUUACACAGCCAGACAGGUCAGACACAAUGUCUCUGAAGGUGGCGACUGUCCUACUGCUGGUGGUUUUGAUGAUGACACCCUGGAUGGUGGAAUCUGACGGCGGACAACCAAAACUGCCUAACACAGGCAAUGUCACAACAACAAAGCCUACCCCACCCAAAAACAGCAGCCCAUCUACAGCGCCCUGCGGUGCCCUGUGGGCCUUGGGUCCCCUGGCGCUGGCCCUCGCCGCCGUGGCGCUCCAACACGCGGCACUCCGGUAAGCUCGGCAUCUGCUUCCUCACCCCACGACGGAGCCAACACCCCACAAUGGAGCCAACCCCCCCACGACGGAGCCACCCCACGACGGAGCCAACACCCCACGACGGAGCCACCCCCCGCGCGCGAUGUGCUUCCUUUCCUCCUUUAGCUUUAGCACACUUCGGGCCAGCCGCCUUCCUGCGGCCGUGACAUCACCGGCCCCGCCUCAACUCAACUCCCAAACUCCCAGGACCCCACACGGACUUUCAGUCAAGAACCCAAAUAUUUAAUAACGCAGGCAAAGUGCUAGACUGCCGUCCUAUGACUUCUUGUUUCUCCUUAACAUCAGAUUGUAUCGUGAGCUAUUUUUUUAAAGUUAGUUUAAGUUCUGCAUUUUGAAGACUACUGUUUUUCACCCUUCUGCAAAAAAAAAAAAAACGGAAAAGUACAAUUAUAAAACCCCACAGGAUCAUUAUACAUUGACGGUAAAAUGAGGUGAAAAGUAGCCCGGAAAUCCCCCGAGCACUUCAUGCAUUAAAAAGUUUCAUGCAGCUAGGCUGAAGCAGAGGGGACUACCACAUCACACGUACUGAGAAGACAGUGCCACACUCCUCAGAGUAACUGAGGAGAUUGCUGUACUUCUUGCAGUUUUUCUAAUUAAACCUAUCGAAUUUUUGGUUACAAAUGGCAACAGCAAGAAUGAGGGCAACCGUUUGAGACAAUUAAUGAUCGAAAAUGUAUAUGUUCAGAUAACAUUAUUCCAAAUGUAAUGUAAUGACCGUACAUGCUAUUAUCUAUUUAGCCAAGGGCAAGUGUCUUAUCACUAUUCUGUUUUGACUCACUCUUUGGAUUAUUAAAUGCACUUGAUGGAGA